rnacentral:rRNA from 1 species
UACGGGAGGAUCCGAGCGUUAUCCGGAUUUAUUGGGUUUAAAGGGAGCGUAGGCGGGUUGUUAAGUCAGUUGUGAAAGUUUGCGGCUCAACCGUAAAAUUGCAAUUGAUACUGGCACCUUGAGUACAGUUGAGGUAGGCGGAAUUCGUGGUGGUAGCGGUGAAAUGCUUAGAUAUCACGAAGAACUCCGAUUGACGAAGGCAGCCUGCCGCAGCGUUACUGACGCUGAAGCUCGAAAGCGCGGGUAUCGAAACAGGG